AAUAGGCCCAACACCACACGUCGUCUGUGUUUUUUUUUAGCAAUGUCAGCUGUUUGGGAAAACCUAAGAUUAGAGAUUGCUUCCUCCUGUUGCUGGUCUUGAACUCUGGCCCAGAUCACCGUCCAGGAGAGUAUAAUUCUCAGUUCCUUUGGCCUUGCAGCCUUGUCACCAAACGAAGUCUUGAACGAGCAACAUGAAGUUGGGUGGCUUCUUCCUCCUCGCAGUCCUCCUCACCCUCAGCACAGAGCUCCACGCUGUCGGCACCUGUGUGUACCAGUGCAGAGAAGACUGGCACUUUGGGAAGGGAAAACAGGCUGUCACCACAUCUGUUCCUCCAUCCCUCAAGUAGUGCCGCCAUGAAGUUUCUUUUCCUGGCUGCUCUACUCCUGGAACCCAGUAGCAUGGGAUAGGAUCUAAAAUAAUGUGGAUGUAAGAGUUCGAUUCUGGCUCUUGUUUGGGGACUUAUGGGUGACUGCUUCCAAAAUUAUCCUUCUUCUGAAUAAAAUGA